rnacentral:rRNA from 1 species
GGCUACUGCUAUUGGGAUUCGACUAAGCCAUGCGAGUCAAGGUGUCUUCGGACGCCGGCGUACGGCUCAGUAACACGUAGGUAACCUACCCUCAGGACUGAGAUAACCCCGGGAAACUGGGGCUAAUAUUAGAUAGAUAAAAGAUACUGGAAUGUUCUUUUAUCCAAAGCUUUUGCGCCUGAGGAUGGGCCUGCGUCCGAUUAGGUUGUUGGUGGGGUAAUGGCCCACCAAGCCUACGAUCGGUACGGGCAGUGAGAGCUGAAGCCCGGAGUUGGGGACUGAGACAAGGCCCCAGGCCCUACGGGGCGCAGCAGGCGCGAAACCUCUGCAAUGCGGGAAACCAUGACAGGGGGAUCCCAAGUGCUCAUGCAUUGCAUGGGCUGUUCUUUGGUCUAAGUAACCAGAGGAGUAAGGGCUGGGCAAGACCGGUGCCAGCCGCCGCGGUAAUACCGGCAGCUCAAGUGGUAGCCGCGAUUAUUGGGCCUAAAGCGUUCGUAGCCGGAUAAGUAAGUCUUUGGUUAAAUCCUGCGACUUAACCGUGGGAAAUCUAGAGAUACUGCUUGUCUUGAGACCGGGAGAGGUUGGAGGUACUCCCAGGGUAGGGGUGAAAUCCUGUAAUCCUGGGGGGACCACCUGUGGCGAAGGCGUCCAACUGGAACGGGUCUGACGGUGAGGGACGAAACCUAGGGGAGCGAGCCGGAUUAGAUACCCGGGUAGUCCUAGGCGUAAAUGAUGCGAGUUAAGUGUGGGGGCAUCCACGAGAUGGCCCUGUGCUGUAGGGUAGCCGUUAAACUCGCCGCCUGGGGAGUACGGUCGCAAGGCUGAAACUUAA